GCCGGGACGCCAUCUUGAGGCAGUGCGUGUGGCGGCCGUUGGUGGCGGUUGAUGACUGCGGUGGCCGUUUUUUCUCGGUUCUCCCCCCGGCCCCGUGGCUCGGUGCGGUCCCGAUUGAGUAGCUUUUCCCCCUUUAUUUUAAAAGAUGCCUGAGAGCACACGCUCUGUCGUGUGAAAGGCUGGGUACGAGGGAGGGAGGGUGAAGAAACGCAGUGCGCGAUGGCGGCUGUGCUGUGGGGAGCGUGGGUCAUGGUCCUGCGCGGCCUCCUGUCAGCAGCGGCCCUGCAGCCGCACGGGCAGGGCUGAGAAACCCCCGCAGCCACUCCCUGGCACACCCGAGGGCCUGCUGCUCCCCUACCCUUCACAGCAGCCACCAGGGCCGGCAGCAGGCAUGCGAGGCCGUGGUGGACCUGCUCCCUCUGAGGAGCAACGCGACUGCGACUGCACAGGAGCGCCUGCUGGUCGACACGUGAGUCAGUGGCGUCAUACCCAGCACCCUGGGCCUGCUGGAAUAUGCACCGUCAUAAGUUUUACAGCCACUUUUCAGAGUAGUCAUGAGCCUGAGUCAUAAUCACGGUAAUGUCAGCACAUGAGUCAGAGCCUAUUUUUGACUUCCCGCUGAACAGGAGCACUCCUGGGAAAGCGAGGCCCGGCCCUGCUAAAGUGGCUGUAUUUCUGUUCGAAAAUCAGGACCUUGAAAGUUCUCGGAACAAGUUUGCUGAAAGCAUUGCAUUUUUUUUCUUUUGCUCAUUUGAAAUUUCAGGGACCACAGUUUUUCCCUCAGCUGUGAUAUGCAUGUCUGAAACUUCAGGAUGUAAAGGCUUCACUUACUGGUUUAAAAAUAAUUUUUAGCAUGUUUGUAAAGAAUUUUUGUAAAGAAUUUUAGAUGAUUUAUUGGCUAUUAAAUUUUAUUUGAAGAAUACACUGAUGUUUCCUCAAAGGCAGAGUUUAUAUUUCUUGAAUAUUUCAUACAUCAAAAACAUUUAUUUUAAAUCAUCUGGAGCCUGCGAUGAUAUAAUAUUAACAUAUCCAGUGUUUCUGUUGACUGAAAAUUGCAUCUGCAGAUUAACUGGAAGACUGUAUGUUUAGUCUCACCAGCUGUGUCUGUGGUCCAGUUUCAGAUCAAGUUACCAUUUUGUUCACUUUUUUGAUAGUUUGAGGCAGUCUGUAGGUGGCAACAUUGCUUCGUUUUCAUGACCGUAGUUGAGAAUACUGAACUGAGUCCUGGAAAUGAACUCCUACUGUCAGAUUUUUAGGGCAAAAUGGAGCUCCUUUCCCUAAGUCUUAAAUUUACUAAUUAAAUUGAAGCUUAUAAUUUCACGUAAUGAAUCAGACUGAAUAAAAAUGGCACUAAUUUGUUUAACUGCCGUAAAGAGGAAGGAUGAAUCAAUUUGUACAGAAAUGCAAUAAACACUAAUGUUGUCUGGCUGAAAUAGCAAAUUGUAGUGAGUUGUGUAUAAUUCAAGACAAUGAGUUUUCUCUUUUAUUAACUUCAGCUCUCUCACCCUCCACAGUAUUACGUGUUGUGCAAUAAUCACAGCAGUUGCACAUGCACAUAAAUGGAUAGCUUUGGUUCUUAAAGUCCUGUAACGUUAUUUUUCUCAUCUUAAUAUUGAAUCGAAUGUCACAAAUCUUCAUGUACAUUUUCUCCAUUAUUUAUCUAGUCAUGAAUACCUCUGAGUUCUGUGAUACCUUUUAGAAGUGGAGGACUGGAGAGGACCACCCGUGUUGGAUCUAAGCCCCAGUUUCAGGCAGUCAUGUAGUGACGUAUAGUCCAGAAUCAUCCACAGAACUUCUACUGUAGGUGACACCACGACCAGGCCACAGGACCAACACCUUCCCAACACCUUUUAAUAAACCUAAAUCCCAGUGUAAAUAAUAAAAUCCACAACAAUGGUAAGAUCCAGCAAGAGAAAAGAAACAAAUAGGGCAUGGCCAAUUAGCCUGAGUCCUGCAGGAACAAGCUAUUCAUUAAGGAGAACUCCUAGGAAGCACUACAGAGGAGGCUAGAAGAGCAACUGUUAAAACAAAGUGUUAUUUCUAAACCUGUUUUUCCAGACUCCAAAUCUGGUAAUCUGUUUAUCCGUGAGUACUGAGCACUACAUGACCCUGUAUCUCAGAUAUUAAUGUGACGAGGCCCACCUGCAAAUUCCGGUACCCACGUCAGUGACUGAUCUCCAGUACGUUGUAGGAAAUCAGCCGCUUCUCCUCUUCAGAGCCAUAUUGCACAACAAACUGGCCAACUCUGAUCUUUCUAUGUUACCUUUGUAACCAUGUGUUUCAAUAUUUAAUUUCAAGGGGCUUAACUUUUGUAACAUGUUUUAAAGGAUAAUUUAUAUUGUAUAAAAUGUUUGCUUUUUAAAAACUUUGGUAAUGCUUAGGAAGGUUUUUCAUAGUGCCUAAAAGCACAACAGCAAUUUGGUAAGAAUUCUAAUUUUGUUUUAGAACUGACUAGGUGCCAUAUCCUUCUACAGAUGACCCCUAGUUUACUUGCCAGGUUUUUUUUGCUUACUGAAAUAUUUUUUCUCUUUUCAUAAUGGGCCUUCUGUUACUCUGUGUGGGAGUCAUGCAGAGAGAGACACUGACUAAACUGAAAUGCUGAAAAUAAUUCCACGUAAAGCGUUUCAAAAGAUCUGCCACAGUAUGUCUGUAAGGAUAUUCUCCAAACUGUAAGGAACUCAGCUCGUCUCUCCUGUCCUCUCCUCUCCGCACGGCUCCCGUUUGCGGAGCGGCAGGUUCGUCCGCCCCGGCAAGCUGCGGGUGUCGCGUCCCUGGGAUCCUUCCCGCCUGGAUCCCUGCUGGUUUUACAGAUUCCCUGCACAAACCUGGCCAAGCUCUGUUUCUGGCGAUGCACUUGUUCAGCGAGUACGAGAAGGCCCAACACAAGUGAAAACAUUUUGUCAUGGGACCAGUCACUGAAGCACCUAAUCCAAACGAUUUUUGUACAAUUUUAAGAGGAAGCGAACGGCGAGCUGGGAUCCUCAGCUGUGCAGAGGGAGCAGAGGGAUCCCCGGGCAGGUGACGCAGCCCCGGUGCCUGCGGGGCACCCACAGACGGCAGCUUGCAGGGGAGCUGCCAGCCGAGAAAAUCCACUGAUGUUAUUUAGCAAACAAUGAAUAGGUUUGAGAAGUUAUGGGUUGUUCAUAGACCGCUUUGUGAACAGAGUGCUCUGAUCCAUAACCACCCGCCACCAGCAAAGGGCAAAGCACCGAGGGGAGCUCGUCCCCCCGGCACUCUCGGCUCGCGCGGCGGGCUCCCUGCGGGGAGGUCCUCCCGCUGCCGCGGGCUGCCUCGCGCCGGUGGGGCAAGGAAGAGCCACCGCCUUCCUUUCUGUCUUCUUCCCACGAAAGCAAUUAGGAACUAAGCGUGUGUUUCCUGACCCUUGCAGGAAUUUGGGGACUUUUGCCUCCUCUCUGCAAAGCGUGAGAGCUGGCUUGCCCCGCUGCUCUGCGAGGGGUGAUAAACCUCCACGAGUCUCUCUGCCAGCUGGGACUCUCCCUCCUUCCGAAGGACUUCACCUUGAACAUGCUCAACUCCUGCCCUGUUCAUCGCAGCUUCGCUUUAAGCACUGGACGCUCUGGCAGAGCCGCUAGCGUGGACGGGGGACGGCCACCCCGGGAGAGACCCUGCAGCCGCGGGGCCGCGGGGCUGAGGGGUGCAACGGACCACGAGCGCAAAUCUGGUGGUUUGGCCAGCGGCGAUUUUCAUUUUUCUGCAGAAAAUGCUUCUGGCAUUUGCCAAAAAAAAAAAAAAAAAAAAAAGAGGAAGGAGGCCAGGGAUUUUGAGGACUUGUUUAAAUUACGGAAUGGCUGCUGCUGCCUGUCUUGCUUAUGCCGUUAAAAAAAGUUACAGCUUUGAACUGAUUCGUGGGCAGCCACAGCACUGACUUGCUGCUCACGGCGAAGCGACCUGCUGGGUUUGUUCUCCUUCAUCCGUGGGACGGAGGCUCCUCCGAGCCGAGGGCACGCAGACAGCGUGGUCGCCGAGUGCCGCGUUUCCCACCAGAACCGCUGGCCUCGGAGUGAGCCGGGUCCUGCUCGUCCUGGCUAGGCGUCCAGCCCGCGGGGGAGCACGGCCCUGAGCGCACGUCGGGAGCCUGUGGCUAGGGAAAGGCUGGGAGCGGGGACACGGGGACGCUGCCUCUGCGGGGCUGCCCGGGCACGGCCAGCCUCACCGUGUGUCACGCGGCCUCUCGAUGCCCGAAUACGUGUUAUUUCAUCGUUGCUCCAAAAAGAGACUUGCAACGCUGUCAUUCUGCGUUUUAUGUGGGACACGGGCUAAGUUUGGCUAGAGAAGAGCAGCCAACGGCAGCGACGGCUGGACUGUAAUUAGUCUAAAGUGUAGUUUAGUAGCUGUCCAAAGGAGGAACACAAGUCUUGUCCAAAAGGCUGCACAUAAAAUAGCUCUGUGGUUAAAACGAUGAAGGUCCUCUUUCAUCUGCACCCGCACGGCAUCACAGUCACACAGCGGCUUCGCUGAAUUCUCCUGCUCUCACAGUCGGUGCAGGAUUUGGCCCUGCCUGUUUACUGCAAUGCACAGCUGGAUGGCACCGGUAUUUGACAGCUGUGCUUACCUGAACAUGCCCAAACUGUUUGAACUGGCUACAUCAGUCCAGUUUCUAACUUGCAAAUUCGGGACUAAAAUGCUAUGUCAAAAACAAGGGUAUCGGCAACACUUAGCGUAAUGCUCUGGGAUGCUGGUGUGAACAGCGAUGCCUUUUCAGCCUUUGCUAUUAUUAUUCCUAUUUUUGCAAUUAUUGCUGUCAAUGUAUCACAGAAGGUCGCUGGAAGGGCUGAGUGUCGGGAUAUCGGGCAGAAAUGGACACAAAAUGGUGUUAAAAUUUUAAAUUCAGUCUGAGUUUUCCCUUCAUUUCCUUCCUUUACUCUGAUUUGUCGGCCCUUGGUGGGGCUUGCUGGAUCCUCGCUCACCUCAGCAGCGAUUUCCCCAGAUUUCCCGCAGCCCGCGGUGGUGCAGCGAGGUCGGCUCCCGCGGGGAAAUGCGGGCGAAAAUCCGGGCAGGGUGCUCCGAACUGGCGGCUGCGGGCGGGGGUAGGGUUAGCCCGAAGUCUGCGUGUUUUCAGCUCCGUAUAUAGCACAAGGGCUGUCUGAGACCCGAGCGAGCACCGUGACUUGUGCCUGCUGCACCCCCGGAGAGCAUCCCAGGGGACCGGCGGGUCUCCGUACGCCAGAUGUGCGUCAGCGAGAUCAUGUCGCCUCCAAUAACGCGAUACCGCAGCUGCCGGACAAGGGUUUGGCUCAGGCCAGGGCACUGCUGUGCGGAGACCUGGACCCUAUUUGCCAGCUGCAGGUUGGGUUUGUUCAGUAGCUGCUUCCACAGCACCAGGACCGGGACCUGUUCCCAGGUGCCCACAGAAAGGCUGAUUUCUCCCCAUUCUGCUCACAAGCGUCGAACAGCGCGAAGGGACUGGGAGGGCUGGGGGACUCGCUCAGGUCGGGUUGUCUCCCACCCGGAGGGCUGAACGGUGUGAGAAAAUGUGGACAGGCUUGAGGACGAGCGGUCAGAAAGCUGAAAUCUGGAAGACCAAGUGGAGCAGCUCUGCCUGAGCUGACACUGUAUAGGCAGAGGUGUAUGAGUGUUGCCCAGAUUAAAGUUUAAUUAAAUUCCUGCAAGAUUUUGGGGUUUCAUAAACUUCCUUUGAGCUUUCUGCCAACUGGGAUAUACUCUCUGGCUUCAGAAUAUAAAAGCAGUUGUUGUUGUGUUUUGCAAAUAUGUUUUAUAACGCAUGCAAGUGCCGACUCUGCAGAAGUCUCACUGCUUUCCAUGAUUAACAAAAUUACAAAAACACAAAGGGGAGCAGUUCUCCUUGUUUUUGACUAUCCUUAAAAACAAGAGAUGGAUCAAAGUAUCCUAUGAUUAAGCUCAUUAAUCACACCCACACCACGAAAAGCCAAUAACUCUCCUGAACCCGUUUUUCGCGGAGGAAAGCCGGUUAGGAGCUAGGCGGGGUGGUUGUUUAUUUACGUGUUUUUCUCAAAUGAGGAACUGAACAUUUAGCGAGGAGAGGAGCGCAGGACUCUCUGCAGCUUCGUGUCGCGUGGGACCCUGCAACAACCUUGCUAGCCCUGUGUUAAAGCACUUGCAAACACGCACAGCAAACAGGUGGUCACAGUUCCAAGGCUGCAGACGUGCAGGAGAGGGGUUUCGUGUCCAUGGAUCUGAGCGAGAGCCGUUCUCGCAUUCCAGCUUUCACAGAGCUCUUCUCUACACCGGCAAGUAACUGUGGACACUCGCGCUUGGAGAUUGCAGCUCCAGCCAGUUUGGGAUCCCACAGUUUUAACAAAUUGCAAAGGUUAAAUGCAAGCUGCGUGGAGAAACACUUCCUUUAGCUUUACACUGGCACCGUGGUGGCUCCCCACGGCUGCACAGACGCCUGUCCGUCACCUCCCGGCUGUCGCGCCCCUGGCUGAGGAGCCCCACGUGUUGCAAUGUCUUUCUGUCCAUGCCUUGGACCGUCCGUCUCGGUCCCCGUCGCUCCGCGCUGCCUUUCGGAUGCUGCGGCCCCGGCGGGGAGUCAAGCACCGAGGUCCCCUUGCAGCCGUGGGGAGACGUGGGGGUCCGGCAGCGGGCCCAGGGAAGCAGCCUGCUCGGCAGACGGCAGCCCAAACUGGCCAAGAGGAGGUGCGGAGGGCAAAAUGUGAGCUUGACCCUUCUCCAGGCCUUCAGUGCCGAAACCUCCAAUGCUGAGCACUGCAUAUUUGCAGUCUGCAUUCACAGCCCUGAUUUUUUCCGGGGAUUAAGCUCACUCUUUUCUCCAAGCAUCGCCAGAGGAAGCAGCACAUCUUCCUUGAUGGAGGAGAGAGCCAAACACGUCUCACUAGCGGGAGCAAGUGACCAAACUGCCGAGAUACGGGUUGAAACACCCAAAGUCCUCCUCCUCCGGAGCGGACGAGGCCCCGUGACUGGCAAAGGCAACGCGGAGCGGGCAGGCGGCUCGGGGAGGACAACGCCUGUUUUCUGUGCUUGCUUUAGCCGCCCGCUUGGCCCCGAGGCCGAGGUCGCCCACCCGGCCGGGCACCACAGCAUCUCUGCUCGCUGCGAGGAGAAGCCGGGCAAAGAGCAGCCGAGUCAGCAGGAGCCGCGCAGCCGCCGCGGACGGACAGGGCUCCGCUAAAUAGCGGUGCUGCAGUCCGUUUCAGGACACGGCCUGAAAUCCUUCUGAAUAAGCAUUUUCUCUCACACACAUCUUAGCUCUCUGCACGGCCACUGGUCACACUCAAUCCCCGUUUCACAUCACGAGCAGUAAUUACCAGCUUGGCCUGGUUUUGCGGCUGAAUGAUACGAUUUGCAAUGCAAGCACUCGAACGCCAGCCAAAAGGAGGCAGCAACUGCUGCCCCUCUCUCAAUAUUUCCUCCAGCAGCAGCUUCAUUUCCUUCGAAACGCUGAAGAGGGUGUAGUUCCAACCUGCAUGUGUUCACAGGCACGUGGCUUAAACAAAUAUACACAUGCGCGCACACAUAUACGCACAUCUUGGUUUAGUCUCAGCUUUGCGCCAUAUGAAGAGAAGACUCAAUUUGUAACUUAUCCUAUUUCCCAGGAAAUACGUUUUAAUGAUUUUGCUAAUAGUGAAGAAACCCGUGUUCCCUGUUCUACAGCUUUAUCCUCACGGAGGCUCCUUCUUGCUGCUGGGGAAAAGCGCAGCUCGUCGAGGACAUGGUGAUCCUGGCAGCCGGCUCGGCUGCCCCUUUCCGAGCCUGGACUUCCCAUAUCGGCAUUCCCGCGGGCACACGCGGAGCGGAGGCAGCUGUGCCGCAGGCUGGCAGGGGGAUGUUGCAGGUUGUCUGGCUGAUGCCCCCAGACCCGGCACCGCUCCUCCCUGCAAGCUGGUCUUGUAGCAGAGCUAUUAAAGAUGCAGUGAGUCUCCGUUAUGCCUCCCGCAUGCAACAUCACUUCACCCGUGCCUGGGUUCAGCCGGCGCAAGCCAGGCUGCGUUCAGGCCCCUGUUUCGCCGAGGUGGUAAAUAAUUCAGUGCGAACUUGUGCUGUCCCCGGAUUGUAACAGCGCUGGGGCCGCUCAGAGUUGGCUGGAAAAGGGGAAAAUUUGUUUUACUGGAAAACCUGCACUGUUGACCUUUCAUUUAAUUUAGCGCCAGGACAAAAUGUUGCACUGGGGGACUCGCAGGGAACCGGCCCCUCGGCGUCCCCGGUCCCUCGUGCCGGUGCCGGCAGGGCAGAGCCUCACAGGCCUCCGGAAAGGAAAAGGCAGAGCGGGGCUGGCUCACCUCACACCGGUGCCCCCCACGAGCGGGCCUGCGGCGUGAGGACAGCCGCACCAGCCUGCUGAACAUCAGCCUUGUUAAACGCAUAACGUCAUCUAUCCGCCGAAGGACCACGCGCGCACGGGACGGGGCGAGCGGGAACCUCCCCGGCUGCAGUCGCACACCCAGCACGCGCUCGCCAGCUCGCACCCCGCGUUUCUCAAGCCGUCAAGGAUGCAGCUGCUCAGCAGCCCAGCGCCGCGGCCACACGUCAGCCAAGAGAGCUGAGAGAGUGAGGGAUCGCGCUUUAAAGGCAAGACCUGGAAAAGGGGCUGCCAGGGAAUGAGUCGCUGCAGUUUUUGCAAAACCUUCCCCCUCCUUCGCUGUGAGACAACUGUUAUUAAUCAGCCCCGUAAAUUGGCAUCCAUAUUUUUCUCAUGAGCUCUGAAACUCAUUUAAUGCCUCUGAACAGCUUCUAUCAGCUGAAAAAUUAAAUUAAUUGUAUUCCUCCUGCCUAACAAACCUCGGGAGUUCUUUGCCAGGCGCCUUUGGUGGGCAAACCAACGGGAAGUUGUGCGGCGUUGAUAUCCGAACUCUGUGUGCAAGCACACCGAGCUCCUCUGCUACCCCUGCGCAAGAGGCCGCGUUAUCCGCGUUGGCCGUCUGGGGCGACGAGGCAGCUGAGGGGCGGCAAGCAGAUUAAACUGCAAUCCCUUGAUACCACACACUGAUCAGCAGCUGGAAAAAAAAGAGAGAAAAAUCCUUUUGCAAUUAAUAAAAGAAAAAUCCACAGAGGCUAGAAAAUGUCCAAUCUUAAAAAAUGGUUCUCAUACUUCUUUCGUAAUGAUGGUUUUUACAGAGAGUUUAAAGCUGGUAGAGAUGCACAUCUAGCCUAGCUUCUUCCUCAACCUGCAAUCAGAAAAUGUAGCUUUACACUCAGAUAUAAGCUUUAUUAAAUAUUGACUCGCUCCCUCCCGUUAUUUUCUGAUCCAUUAUCUCAUGUUCAUCAGCAUUUACAGUUCUUUGCCACUCUGAGAAUGCAGCAGUCGUGUUUCAUCCGCUGGCGAUCCCGACACCAAAUCACGGAUGAGCUCUGACCCGGGGGCACCACGCCGGAAAAGCGCGCCGUGGUACAGUCGUUUGCGAGUGAGGCGGCGUUGGACUGAACACGGAGACCCCGUGUCUUGCUCCGGAGCGUUCCCCGCUUGGGCUCGCUUUUAGAAAGCGCCUCCCGCCCACCACGGCUGGCAGCGAGUGCCGGCGAGCCCCACGCGUCCUGGCUGUCUCUUGGCCCACCACCGCCUUGCCCCGAGCCUCGGCAGCACCUGGGCUUUGCUAGCAUCCAGGUCGUGGGACCAAGAUUAAUCUGAAAAUGACGAUCUCCGGACUCUAGAGAGAGCUCUUACGACUGGCUGCUCAGAUCCUAGACUGCCCUGGCAUCAACGGUCUUGAUUUACUGAUUAAACCUAAAUAUUUUUAAAGAACAAACCAAAAGGCAUAAGAAACAUGCAAAAUCAUUGCGGAAGAUGUGCUACAUAUUCCCACGUGACACUUUCUCUUGAAGCUGAGGGAGACCAACAUCAAGUGAGCGCCUCCAGGUUUGCAUUUAACCCUCCUGCGUUUUGCUGAAUGCCGUCACACACCCAGCGCAGGGCUCCGGCACACGGCCCAGCUGCAGGUUGCCAGUCCAGCACCGCAGGCUGGGAGGUGCCCUUGCGUGCUGGAAAGAAGUGAGACUAAAAGGAUUGACUGGUCUUGGAUGAAGGGGGUGCAACUGUGUGCACCCUCUUAGCACAGUUCUGCAUCUGAUAUUUGGCACUUGCUGCUGGUGAAGGAGCGAUGUCACUGCUUUGUCCUCAGCAGACACUUGGAGCUGGGUCUCCUCUCAUUGCUAUCAAUAUCACAACUUGCUUUGGCGAAGUUGCAUCUCAUUUAGACCAACAAAUGUUGGAAGUCAGUCCACGGAUGCCAGCGCAGUUGAACCAGCGCAUAGCUGCUGCAAGUAAAUCAGAUUCAAAGCUUAUCGUUUCGUUUCUAACAGACACAGAAAAACCAGCAGACCAGCAAGGUAUGAACCUAAUAACUCGCUGUGCUGGGACGCUGAGGAUUUGCACCUAUCAUCGCACAUGCAGAUCUCAGCACAAAAUGCUGAAAGAGCAAUUGCACAGGGAGGGUGUGGACACAGGCAUGGAAAGUGUAAAAAACAGAAGGUAGAUGUACCCACCUAUGUGCCAGAGGUAGGAUCGAUGCCUACAAACUCUCUAUUUGCUGCAGCACAGGUGCCUGUAGAAAAGAUGUCAAUAUGGCAAUAAGUAAGGUCCUUCAGAGGACCGUAAAAUUUUCAGGCUCCAGGUGAGUUUUAGAUAUGUAUUUAAUUAAGUGUCAAACAAAAUACACGCUGUCUUUAAGAUGACCUACAGUAAUGCUACAGCUAAUGGUGCUGACCAUCAUUUUGCAACUUAUUUCUACAGUCUGUUGAGGCUAGAUAAGGCAGUUUUCUGGUACUUUUAGGAAACUGCUAUAAAUACAAGACUAAAAGGCACUGAAGUAGAUUAGGAGAUAUGUUGUAUUAGGUAAAAUGUGAGAAACCAAAGUGAAACCUUCUUUUCUCUAACAGUCGAUGUGCAUCAGGAUAAAGAUUAUCUGUCAAGUCUUUUAUUUCCUAUCAACAGGAAAUCACUGCAGAAGCCGAUUCCCUUCAGAAGAAUGUUCUCAGGAUGCUGCCUUUUUUUUGCAUUUAUUACAGAAAAAGUCAUCUGUAGUCUUCUCGGCAAGGUUAUCUGUUAAUGUGCUGCAAUCAAUAAUCUCUUCUUAUAUGUAUACUGCUCAGCGCUCGCAAUGGAGUUUAUGGCUGCACUACAUCAUUAUUAUGAAUGAGCACUACCUUUGCCAUUGCUGAGCUAGAGCCUCGCUAUUUAUUAAAGCCUGGCACUGACCUUCCAACUUCAAGAACAUUAAAUCAGAUCCUCUGAACUUCACAGAAAUGUCAGGUCGGGAUCUGUCUGGAAAUGUUGAGCAUUUGGGAGAAACGAGGGUUCAUAAAAAGAUCUUUUUAUUUUCUUCUGUAGAUAGAUAGACAUUGAUUUGAAGGAAUUUUAAAAAGGCUUGGCCCCAAACUUCCAGCUUUGCUUUAAUGUGCAGAUCUUGGUGACAAAUAGAGCUAAGAAUUAGCUUUGGUAAAGGCUGAGAAGUAUUUGUUUCCCUCUCCAGCAAGAUUCCUCGUGUGACCAUUGCAUGGAGCCCUUACAGAGCUGCUCGGACUAUUAACCCCGGUCUGACAGUGACACCCACGGUGGCACCAUCAGACGUGGACAGCUCAGAUGCCUGGGAUGAACUCUGGUACAAGUGGUUAUUUACUUUAAAUAAGUAAAUGUAAAAACUAAGGUCUUGCCUAUUAAUUUUUGUCUCAGAAUAACUUCCUUCUUUUAAGUGUGAAUUAAUAGUUUUUAACUCAGCAGUGCUACCACACUUUUCACAUUGCAAACACUGACAUCUCAGUUACAGACUACAACAAAUUGUUCAAAAAUCACGCAGUUGUCUUACAAGAAUUCCUGCUCCUUUGUGCAUGCUACAUUUACGUUAAACAGUUGCUCUAUGUACAGACUGUUAACUUCAUUAAAGAUUCUGCGAGUCUGGUUUGGAA